GGCAGGGGCAGACACGGAUUGAAUUGCUUGAUUCAGUCUGGAGUCACAAGCGGCCUUGGAUGUUACCUCUUGAGGACUGACGGAAAUGUUUUUCUUGGCUUGAGAGUUCCUGUGUUGCUUAUUAGCACCAAGAACACAGGCCGCCCCUCUGAAGAAUCGGGGCCAGUGCAGAGCUCCUGCACAGAUGACCAAGAGCAGAGGCUGAGGCCAGGGGAAGAUCAGAGGGAGCUGGAGGAGCAAAAGCCAAAAGUCAUUUGCUGUUCCAAGAACACAGAACGCUGCUUCCAAAGCAGAUACCUUUUUUGGAGCUACGUUUCCCAAAUCUUGACGAGUGGAGUCAAAACAGCGCCUGGCAGCGUGACUGACAACGGCACCUUGGAGAGGAGCAAGAGCCGCCCAACUCGGAGGAGAAACUGGAAGGCAUCACUUCCCUGCCUGCCUCUGCGGAAGGAGGUGGGUGGGCGCAGUCGCCACAAAGCUCCCCACGCACCAUUUACACGUGGCCGGGCAUCCUCGAGGUAGAGCACGCAGCUCUGUCUGUGCGAAUCCAAACCUUCUCCCUUGUGCACACUCAGAGCCAUUCCCGAUUCCCUGGUAGCCCACUGGAUGCCUCCCACGCAAAGACCUUCUGCCCAGAAGAGCUCCUCCCUGAUGCUUUGCCUUGCUUUCCUUCACAUCUCAAUAAACCCUUCUCAUCUCGUAUUUAUCAAAUGCAAUCACAAAGGGACCACUUAAUUAACAGCCUGCCAUUGUGUGGAGGCUGAUUUGGAAGCUUAAAGCCAUUUAAGAAAUCUCACACUGUUCCAGACGACAAAAACAGUGGGAUGAGCCAUCUGGGAGGGAGCUUCCACCGAAACAGAUGCCAGUGUUUUCAUGAUUAAGAACCUAAUAUUGUAACAUCGUAGUAUGUUGUGCCAUUUGGUUUAGGAGAGGCAGCCCUCCUGCCUGGUUUGGAUGCAGCCAAAUCAUUCAGCACCAAAAUAUUUGCUCUGGCAAGGGACCCUGGUUUAGACUUCUCUUGUAUUUGUUCCCCCUUUGAGUCUAAACAGGUCUGGGCACAUGGCUCAGUUAAAACUUGCUGAUGAAUUUGUUGGCUGUGAUCACGGCAUAUGGUGAGGGUCUGGUCACUGCAUGCUAUGAAGGCAACUGCAGUUGAAUUCACACCUCCAAGGGUUUGUUUCAAGAUUAAUUGAUUUUCGACACACAAACCUGAACUUUCUUGCAGAACAAAAUGCCUUCUACCUCUACGUUCUACCACCCUGCCUCAUCUUCACCCUUAUCUCCAACGACUUCAUUCUUUAACUUAGUUUUAUUGAGCCUCUAGUAUGCGCCAGCUAUUGUGCUGGGUUUCAUGGGAGGACGAAAAAUUAAAAAAGAUAUAGAAACUGCCUGCGAGAACUUAAAAAGCUCAUACGGUCCCUUUAAAAUAGAACUCUUAUGGUUUCUCCUAUUUAUAUAAGAAAUAUCUCUUCAUUAUAGAAAAUUAAGAAAACACAAGCAAAAUUUUUCUUUCAAAAAAUUACCUAAAAUCCCCAAAGAUAAGCCUCUGAGGGCAUAUUCCUUUGUAUAUUCUUUGUAUAUUCCUUUCCAGUCUUUUUUCUGCCUUACAUUCUGUGUAGGCAGCAACUCCUGCAUUGCUUCUUUCUUAGGCCAUUCUUAGUCCCAUCUCUCUAUUGCUGAUAACUCCCCACCUUUCUGGGAAAAGCCUCCUUGCCUCCUCUUGGCUAUCCAAAUUUUACUUUCUGCUAACUUCUAGCCUUACCUUCAUCUGAGAGGCUGAUCUCAUCCCCACUAGAAAGAUCAUGAGUUCUGGAGACUGUGAUUUAGAGUUUGGAAUUUUGUAGAAUCCUGGAGGGUUAUUUUCAUGGUUAAAUGAGGUGAGCCCAAGUAAGAUCGGUAAACACGGGCCUCUACUUCCUCUCUGGUUCUCUGCUGACCCAUAGAACUUGGAGUGUGUCCACUUUUGUCCAGUUUACACCCAGGUGGUACAGACUGCAUACUUCAAUGACUUCACAUUGUUCCUAGGGUAAAUCUCUAAUCAUUGUGGUUCAUAAGGCCCAGAAUGACCUGGCACCUGCAACCAGCCUCGUUUGGAACUAAACGCCCUACCAUUCUCCAUUCAUCAGGCCAAUCUUCUUCUCACUAUAGGGCUCUGCACAUGCUGUUCCCUCUACCUGGGACACUAUUCCUUCCUGUCUCUCUCUCAUUACCUACUUCUCACCCUUCAAUUGUCACAUCAUUAAAGAAUCUUCCUUGGCUCUCCAGAACAAAGAGAUCCUCUCCUGCCUUCUCAUAGGACCACAUACCUGUGCCUCAGGGCACUCUCUAGAUGGGAAUUUCAGAUUUAUUGGGGUCAUUUUCUUUUUCCACUAA
rnacentral:lncRNA from 1 species